rnacentral:lncRNA from 1 species
GGAUGUAAAAAGAGAAUAUAGAAAUCUUAUGGAUUCAGUUGAAGGAAGGAAAAGAGAAAGAAUCAGAGAAAGGGGGUAAUAGAAAUAUAUAAAAACUAUAUAUAUAUAAUCUGGGGAAAUAAGUCCAAGUAUAUCAUUUGUCACAAUAGUGUGAACUUAAGGCUGGGGAUGUAACUUAAUGGUAGAGCACUUGGCCAGCAUGUGCAAGACCCUAGGUUUGAUCUCUAGUGCUACAAAAUAAACACAUAUGUACUGAUUUGACUCCUUUGUAAAAGAUUAAUUUGUCAUAUUAGAAUUUUAAAAAUCCAUCUGUAGGCUGUAUAACUAAAACCCCUAAUUUUGAAAAAUAUUGAAAAUAAAGGAGAAAGCAAUAAAAGGGGAAGGCAAGUAAAAGAAAGCUCGUGCAGAAUUAUUACUGUGAGACAAAAUAAUAUUUAAGGCAGAAAUCAGUAGUGAAGCUGGGCAUGGUCGCACACAUCUGUAAUCCUAGCAGCUUUAGAGACUGAAGCAGUAGGAUCGAGAGUUCAAAGCCAGCCUCGGCAAAAGUAAAGCGCUAAGCAACUCAAAGAGACCCUGUCUCCAAAUAAAAUACAAAAUAGGGCUGGGAUGUAGCUCAGUGGUUAAGUGCCCCUGAGUUCAAUCCCUGGUUACUCCCCAUCACCCCUGCCACCAGAAUCAGUUGUGAUAACAGGCAUUAUGUGGCAGUGAAAAAAGUUAUCUAAUUAGGGGCUGGGGUUGUGGCUCAAUGGUAGAGUGCUUUCCCAGCAUGUAUGAAGCACUGGGUUCGAUCCCCAGCACCACAUGAAAAACUAAAAAAGUUAUCUAGUUAGAAGAUGUAAUAAUAAAAUUCGUUGACAGGAUUGCAAGGAGAAAUUGACAUAUUUUUGAGUUGUGGUGGGAAAUUUUGAAGCACCUUUAUCAGAAAUUAAUAACAACAGAUUUAAAAAAAAAAAAAACCAGACAGGUAUAAUGGUACACACCUGUAUUCCUGGCCAGGGAGUCUGAGUCAGGGGAAUUACAAGUUUGAGGCCAGUCUCGGAAAAUUUGUGAGACACAGUUUAAAAAAC